UGCGAAUGCUGACAUGAGUAACGAUAAUGGGUGUGAAAAACACCCACGCCGAAAGACCAAGGUUUCCUGCGCAACGUUAAUCGACGCAGGGUUAGUCGGUCCCUAAGGCGAGGCUGAAAAGCGUAGUCGAUGGAAAACAGGUUAAUAUUCCUGUACUUCUGGUUAUUGCGAUGGAGGGACGGAGAAGGCUAGGCCAGCUUGGCGUUGGUUGUCCAAGUUUAAGGUGGUAGGCUGGAAUCUUAGGUAAAUCCGGGAUUCUAAGGCCGAGAGCUGAUGACGAGUGCUCAUUAGAGCGCGAAGUGGUUGAUGCCAUGCUUCCAAGAAAAGCUUCUAAGCUUCAGGUAACCAGGAACCGUACCCCAAACCGACACAGGUGGUUGGGUAGAGAAUACCAAGG
rnacentral:rRNA from 1 species